AAUUUAAGCAUAUCACUAAGCGGAGGAAAAGAAACUAACAAGGAUUCCCCUAGUAGCGGCGAGCGAAGAGGGAAAAGCCCAGCACCGAACCUCGCACCUUCGGGUGUCGCGGAAUGUGGUGUUUAGGAGGACCGUGCGCGUCUGUCCGGUAUCGUCCAAGUCUCCAUGAAUGGGGCCAGCAACCCAGAGAGGGUGUCAGGCCCGUGGGACGAGCCGCGACCGUGUAUUGGGUCUCUCCUUAGAGUCGGGUUGCUUGAGAGUGCAGCCCUAAGCGGGAGGUAAACUCCUUCUAAGGCUAAAUAUGGCCACGAGACCGAUAGCAAACAAGUACCGCGAGGGAAAGUUGAAAAGAACUUUGAAGAGAGAGUUCAAGAGUGCGUGAAACCGUUCAGGGGGUUAAACGGGUGGGCCCUCGAAGGUCGAACGGUCCCCACUCCCGUCUUCUGUAGGCCGGUCCGCGCUGCUUUUCGAUUCCUUACGGAACGAGGCUGGCGCGGUUCGCCGGUUUACGGGGGCCGCUAGCUGGGGGCCCAGUAGGACUCCGCAACCGGCUGGGUUAUGGCCGUCAGAAGGGUUCUGGAGGAAGCCUCCUCGCGAGGUGGAUUCCGGGAUUCCGGGCGGUCCUCUCGGCCGUGAACCCAAAUUUCUCCCUUCACGGGGAGAAUGCGCGGAGAGUAGAGUCGGGUCCCACCCGACCCGUCUUGAAACACGGACCAAGGAGUCUAACAUGUGCGCGAGUCGUCGGGUAUUACUAAACCCGAAGGCGCAAUGAAAGUAAAAACCGCCCUCGUUGGCGGCCGAGGGGAGAUCCCGUUCUGCUCCGGUAGCUCGGGCGCAUCCCCGGGGCGUCGAAGCCGCGUUGCCGGCUAGACGAACCAAGAGCGUACACGUUGGGACCCGAAAGAUGGUGACCUAUGCCUGGCCAGGACGAAGCCAGGGGAAACCCUGGUGGAGGUCCGCAGCGAUUCUGACGUGCAAAUCGAUCGUCUGAGUUGGGUAUAGGGGCGAAAGACUAAUCGAACCAUCUAGUAGCUGGUUCCCCCCGAAGUUCCCU
rnacentral:rRNA from 1 species